AAGCCAUGAUGGGGACACUUGCAUGGGAGAUGCUUUAAUCUCUCAUGUGCUUCGAAAAGUAUCUCAAAGCCCCCUUGUCGGAAUGAUGAAAUCUCUUUCCUCAGCCA